rnacentral:rRNA from 1 species
CGAACGCUGGCGGCGUGGAUUAGGCAUGCAAGUCGUGCGCGAAAGUGGUAGCAAUACUGCGAGUAGAGCGGCGAACUGGUGAGUACAAGGUGACUAACGUGCCCCUGAGUGGGGGAUAACUCGCCGAAAGGCGGGCUAAUACCGCAUGAUCUCACGGAAGUUUCGGCUUUUGUGAGUAAAGCAGUAAUGCGCUCGGGGAUCGGGUCACCUCCCAUUAGCUAGUUGGUGGGGUAAUGGCCCACCAAGGCUACGAUGGGUAGCUGGUCUGAGAGGAUGGUCAGCCACACUGGGACUGAGAUACGGCCCAGACUCCUACGGGGGGCAGCAGUCUAGAGGCUUCGUCAAUGCCCGAAAGGGUGAACGAGCGACGCCGCGUGCGGGAUGAAGGGCUUCGGCUUGUAAACCGCUUUUCUUUGGGAAGAAGGUCCGGGUCGUGCACUCGGGCUCGACGGUACCAGAGGAAUAAGCCCCGGCUAACUCCGUGCCAGCAGCCGCGGUAAGACGGAGGGGGCAAGCGUUGUUCGGAAUUAUUGGGCGUAAAGGGCGCGUAGGCGGACCGGCGGGUCCGGCGUGAAAUCUCCACCGCUCAACGGGGAGAAGCCGCUGGAAACUACCGGUCUGGAGUUUGGCAGAGGGUCAUGGAAUUCCAGGUGUAGCGGUGGAAUGCGUAGAUAUCUGGAAGAACACCUGUGGCGAAGGCGGUGGCCUGGGCCAAAACUGACGCUGAGGCGCGAAAGCCAGGGGAGCAAACGGGAUUAGAUACCCCGGUAGUCCUGGCCCUAAACGUUGGAUACUAGGUGUGAGGGGUAUCGACCCCCCUCGUGCCGAAGCAAACGCAUUAAGUAUCCCGCCUGGGGAGUACGGCCGCAAGGUUGAAACUCAAAG